rnacentral:rRNA from 1 species
UACGUAGGGCGCAAGCGUUGUCCGGAAUCAUUGGGCGUAAAGAGCUCGUAGGUGGUCUGUUACGUCUGCUGUGAAAUCCUAGGGCUUAACCCUGGGCCUGCAGUGGAUAUGGGCAGACUAGAGGUAGGUAGGGGAGAAUGGAAUUCCCGGUGUAGCGGUGAAAUGCGCAGAUAUCGGGAGGAACACCAAUGGCGAAGGCAGCUCGCUGGGACGUGACUGACGCUGAGACGCGAAAGCGUGGGGAGCAAACAGG